AUUCAGAAAUAGUUUUGAAAUAAAUCUUUGCGCUUAACAAACUAAAUCAAAUAUGGAGGUUAAUGGAUGUCUUUAUUGAAGUGAGUUUCCACAGUUUUCUUGUCCACAAAAGUAAAGGAGUAAAGAGUAAAAGUAAAGAGGAGGCUCAUUCUUUAUCCUUGUGCUGCAGAUAGUCUGUCUAACUGUUUUGUCACUAGUAAAGCAAUUAGUUUUUCCAUUCAGUUUAUCCACUUACAAAGUCUGCCAUGUAAAUAGGAAAUGCGACGCAACUGACUCUGACUCCCAAAGGGAAUGGGAGCUGAGUCUGAUUGGUUUAAUGCACAUUAUGCUUAAAACACACCCAUAACUCAUUAAGAGAAUAAGCAGAACCCUGUUAGACCAUGCACUGCGGCGCAGAGCGUAUUUUUCUGUUCUUAAAAUGGGCAAAGUGGAUUCGGACGCCCUUAUUGCUUUUGCACUAUGCACUUUAGACUUUGUGCCUAUAUUGUUAAAAUAGAGCCCUAAGUCAUCAUUUACUCAUCUUCCACUGUGCUGAGCAUAAAAAAAAACAUAUUUAGAGAAUUUGUAAACCUAAUUGUGGACCAUCAACUCACAGUAAUGUUUUUUUUUUUUUCACAGUAAACAUUUUCUUUUAAAUAUCUUAUUUUUGGUCAGCAGAAAAAUGGUUUAGAAAUAUUUGAGAUUGAGUAAAUAUUGAGCAAAAUUUUAUUUUUGGGUAAACUACCCCUUUAAGACUUUAAAUGCAAAGGACAUCAGCACUGAGCUGAUUUGCAAAGAUAUACAGAAAAAUUGUAAAAAGCCACAAGCAUUUUUUUAAUUAUUAUUGAAUUGUCAAUACUAUUAUAGUUCUAGACUGCAUGAGGUUGGAGACAAACGUUUGCUAUCACUGUUUUAAAAAAAGACUCUAUGUGUCUGUGUGUGUGUCACUGCAGGAUCAAGUGAGAGAAGCAGAUGGGUAAAAAGCAUAUUUGUGUUGGGUAGUUACUUCAGGUGAAAGUGAAAGAGUUGAUGGGGAGAAAUUGUGAUCACACAUCUACAGGUGAGCACACAGAAUCCCAGAGCUGUUUAAGACCAAUAUUCAGGAUUCAAGCUCAUGGUGUCCACCUGGGAGACAGAGAUGAGUAUUUCACUCACAUACUGUGCAUGUGAGCCCACAGAAGAGCCAACUUGAUAGACUCCAUUACCCAAAACUAAACCUUGGCACAAAAAAGUCAGAGAAGGAAGGACCCUGUGUGUUGUCUUGAUUACCUCCCCAGGGGACCCUCACUGUGGAACCACUUUAAAGAUAAAUACCCAAAUGAUGUUUUCAAACUGUGGUCGCCUCAGCACGGAGUUGAAACAAUAUCAGUGAGCUGGAGCUGAUGGGAGUUGACACGUCUCUUUUACCCCGCACUCGGGCUGAUUGAGAGCGGAGAAUAAAGAGAAGAUGGCGACUAUAAACACCAUGCCUUUCCUUUUCGCUUUCUUCCUCCCGCUUUCAUCGUUUGUUCUUUACACCAAUGUUUUUCUUCAUGUCUCAUGUCUUUUGACCACAUCCUUCUCUGAUUCCAGGUCUGGAAGCCUCUUCAGUCCGUUGGCAUGUGGCAGAUGGCUGCCCAGUUUGUGGUCUCCUCUCCUUGUGCUCUCAUCUGCCUAUCAAAACAGGCACCCUGAUCACAUGACCUCAAGCCGGCAUCAUGUGAUCCUCUGUCGCUUUUCCAUUAAGCAAGAUUUAGUGAUUCUAAACAGUGUCCAGCGGUUUAACAACCAGCUGAUUUCCCUUUUCUCAUGUACUGUCUUGAAUUCAAUUAGUAAUUCCUCAGUGAAACUGUCUGUUCUUCAUAACAGAUCAAAGUUUGAUGAUUACAGUGGAUAAAUAAAAUGUUACAACAC